GUCUACGGCCAUGCUACCCUGAACAAGCCCGAUCCCAUCUGAUCUUGGAAGCUAAGCAGGGUUGGGCCUGGUUAGUACUUAGAUGGGAGACCACCUAGGAAGACCAGGUGCUGUAGGCA
rnacentral:rRNA from 1 species